rnacentral:lncRNA from 1 species
UAACCCGUGGCAAUGGCUGCAGCAGCACGGCGUGUAAUCUGGAUGGACAUGUCAGGGUACACGUGCACUUACUUCAAGAUGACGACACUCCACCUCAAGAACAGCCUCUCCUCAAUGAUAAGUAGCGAGAUUAAAUGAAAGGAAGAUAUCACAUCCGUAACCAGACCGAUACUGUGUUUUCCUUCCAUUUAACCUCCUUCUGCAUUUAAGGAAGCAUUGAUAUGCCCAAUAAAUGUUUUUGUUAAAUUUC